UUUUCGGCUAAUAAUAAAAGCCCACAAAGGCCGGGAAGAGAUGGUAGACAUUGGGGUUGAUGGAGAGAUUUCUCUGGUUGCUCAAGAAGGGCUUCCUUCUCCAAGCAAGGCGUGCUAUCCUAAGCCUAUCCUCGAGAAUAAGACAGAGGAACGGUGGAGGUAGAAGGCAUGGAUUGGUGAAGCUUCGCGAGGACAUAGAGAGAUGUGGUGGAUACAAGGAUAUCCAAGUAAUGUGGGAGUUGAUUCUCUCCAGCGAAGGUCUUCCCACUCGGUACAACCACAAGAAGAGAUGGGCUAUGCCAAGCUCCUGUGCUAAGUACAUGAAGUGGGUGAAAGUUUUACGGUAUUUCAGCAGCUCGUCCAGCUCGGUCGGUAGAGCGCAAGGCUCUUAGCUUUGCGGUCGUGGGUUCGAGCUCCACGGUGGGCGUAGGGAUGUCAGGGAUUUCUUUAUUUCCCCUUCUUUGGCUUCGAGUUUUAGUGGAAAAACUUGUUUACAAAUGAUGCAUAUCCGUCUGAAUUGAUUCCAUCAUGACUGCAGUAGUCAUCAUUUGCUAAAAAAGCUUGACGUCCAGGGAUUUAACGCAAGAAUCACUGACAGUGGCAAAAGCCUUUAUGUUUCCCAGGGAGUAGAGACAGCCAUAACCAAGAAAAAGAGACAGUUCUAUCAUGGUAA